rnacentral:rRNA from 1 species
UACGUAGGGUGCAAGCGUUGUCCGGAAUUAUUGGGCGUAAAGAGCUCGUAGGCGGUCUGUCGCGUCGGCUGUGAAAACCCGGGGCUCAACCCCGGGCCUGCAGUCGAUACGGGCAGACUAGAGUGCGGUAGGGGAGAUUGGAAUUCCUGGUGUAGCGGUGGAAUGCGCAGAUAUCAGGAGGAACACCGAUGACGAAGGCAGAUCUCUGGGCCGUAACUGACGCUGAGGAGCGAAAGCGUGGGGAGCGAACAGG